CCUACGGGUGGCAGCAGUGGGGAAUAUUGCACAAUGGGGGAAACCCUGAUGCAGCGACGCCGCGUGAAGGAAGAAGUAUCUCGGUAUGUAAACUUCCAUCAGCAGGGAAGAAAAUGACGGUACCUGACUAAGAAGCCCCGGCCAACUACGUGCCAGCAGCCGCGGCAAUAUGUAGGGGGCAAGCGUUAUCCGGAUUGACUGGGCGUAAAGGGAGCGUAGGCGGUUUAGCAAGUCAGAAGUGAAAGCCCUGGGUUCAAAUCCGGGACUGCUUUUGAAACUGUUGAACUAGAUUGCAGGAGAGGUAAGUGGAAUUCGUAGUGUAGCGGUGAAAUGCGUAGAUAUUAGGAGGAACACCAGUGGCGAAGGCAGCUUACUGGACUGUAAAUGACGCUGAGGCUCGAAAGCGUGGGGAGCGAACAGGAUUAGAUACCCUUGUAGUC
rnacentral:rRNA from 1 species